rnacentral:rRNA from 1 species
AUGGUUCGGGCCGACGCCGCGGCUCACGGUGGCGGACCCCGAGCUCGUCCGCGAGAUCUUCCUCACGCGCGCGGAGGCGUUCGACCGCUACGAGGCGCACCCCAUCGUCCGGCAGCUCGAGGGAGACGGGCUCGUCAGCCUGCACGGCGACAAGUGGGCCCUCCACCGCCGCGUUCUCGCCCCCGCCUUCUACCCCGACAACCUCAACCGGCUGGUGCCGCACGUCGGCAGGUCAGUGGCGGCGCUGGCGGAGAGGUGGCGGGCGAUGGCGUGCGCGAGCGGCGGCGAGGUGGAGGUGGACGUGGCGGAGUGGUUCCAGGCGGUGGCCGAGGAGGCCAUCACGCGCGCCACGUUCGGGCGCAGCUACGCCUCCGGCCGCGUGGUGUUCCGCAUGCAGGGCCGCCUCAUGGCCUUCGCCUCCGAGGCCUUCCGCAAGGUGCUCGUCCCGGGCUACCGGUUCUUGCCGACCAAGAAGAACCGGAUGUCGUGGGGCCUGGACAGGGAGAUCAGGCGGGGCCUAGUCCAGCUCAUCGGCCGGCGCAGCGACGCCGCCGAGGACCACGAGGCGGAGAUCAAGGAGAAGGGCAACAGCGGCGGCUUCAGGGACCUGCUGGGGCUGAUGAUAAAUGCCCGCGACAAGAAGUCGCAGGCCAUGCCGGUGGAGGACAUGGUGGAGGAGUGCAAGACGUUCUUCUUCGCCGGCAAGCAGACGACCACCAACCUGCUGACCUGGGCCACGGUGCUCCUCGCCAUGCACCCGGAGUGGCAGGACCGCGCCCGGCAGGAGGUCCUCGCCGUGUGCGGCCUCGGCGAGCUCCCCGCCAAGGAGCACCUGCACAAGCUGAAAACGCUGGGGAUGAUCCUGAACGAGACGCUGAGGCUGUACCCACCGGCCGUGGCCACCAUCCGCAGGGCCAAGGUGGACGUCACCCUCGGCGACCUGGCGAUCCCGCGCGACACGGAGCUGCUGAUCCCGAUCAUGGCGAUCCACCACGACGCCAGGUUCUGGGGGCCCGACGCGGCGCAGUUCAACCCCGGCCGGUUCGCCGGCGGCGCGGCCCGGGCGGCGACGCACCCGCUGGCGUUCAUCCCGUUCGGGCUCGGGUCCCGGAUGUGCGUCGGCCAGAACCUCGCCCUGCUCGAGGCCAAGCUCACCGUGGCCGUCCUGCUCCAGCGCUUCGAGCUGAGGCCGUCGCCCAAGUACGUGCACGCGCCGACGGUGCUGAUGCUGCUCCACCCGCAGUACGGCGCGCCCGUGAUCUUCCGCCCCCUGUCGUCGCCCCCGCCGUCCGCGUCGGUCCACGCUAG